rnacentral:rRNA from 1 species
UACGAGGGGGGCAAAUGUUGUUCGGAAUCACUGGGCGUAAAGGGAGCGUAGGCGGGUGUUUAAGUUAGGUGUUUAAUCCUGGGGCCCAACCUCAGUCGUGCACCUAAAACUGGACAUCUUGAAUAGGGGAGAGGUCAGUGGAAUUGGAGGUGUAGCGGUGGAAUGCGUAGAGAUCUCCAAGAACACCAGUUGCGAAGGCGGCUGACUGGACCCAUAUUGACGCUGAGGCUCGAAAGCAUGGGGAGCAAACAGG